AUUAACUAUGUUAAAGGAAUAUUCUGAAGCCGAACACUACUUAUAAACACUACUUAUGUGUCUCAUUGGCUCUGCCGCUACAAAGACUUGCAUAUAUGCUUAAUGCUGUGCCAUGUUGAGUGUUCCUCUCGAGGUGACAACUCAUGCUGAGUAAAAUCAAGGCUCUGCACAGAACUGGGAAUCUUCAGUGGCCAUGGAAAGGCCCUGGGUAUCUGCUUGAAACCCGGCUCCCAAACCUGAAGCCUUUGGAGGCAGACUGCCUCUGGGAGGAUGCAUUUUACCCUUUCCUCCCUGCGUAGACGGUUCUUCUAGGGGCAUCAGCUGCCUCUUCCAGAGAAGCAGACCAUCUGGAGGGUUUUUGGAGGUGCAUUAACUCUGAGAAGUUAUUUGUGUUGUUUGAAGUACAGCUACUCCCUAGUACUGUCAACUUCUCACCCAUGGGAACAUGACCUCAUGGAAAAGUGUGUGUGGGCUCAGUGUCAUCAUUUAAGCAUGUCAGAGAAUUAUUGUUUUUCACCCUGAACUCCACUCCUGUCAUCGGAGAGGAACCCUGAGUUCAUAAUCGGUAACAGAAAUCUUGUUUGAUGCUCCUGUUAAUAAACAUUGCACAGAACUGA